rnacentral:lncRNA from 1 species
GGAUCUUGAUGACAAAAAAGGCAAUAGGUUUCUUUUUUAUCCUGCACACGACGGACAGGAGAAGCAAAGUACAGCUCUGGGACAAGAAUCAUAUUCAAUUGCCAACAUGAAAGAAAAACUGUAUGCACAACAAGAUAGAAAGGUUAUUGUUUCUUUUUUACAAAGUUACUAGGAAUCAUAAAUGAACGGUGUUUACUGUUUACUGAGAAAUAUACUCGGACUUCAGCAGGUGUUGCCGGGAUAGAUAAGAACAUGCUAUUAGUGUGAAAGUUUUGGGAGGGAAAGCUUAAAAAUGGAUCAGGGGAUGUGACUCUGUUGGCUCUAUUGUGGACACUAAAGUACGACCCAGUACAGUACCACUCAGUGGUGUCUGGGGAGGGUAGUGUGUACGCAGCCUUACACAUAAAUGUACGGUGUUAACUGUUUACUGAGAAAUAUACGCACUUCAGCAGGUGUUGCAGGGCUAGAUAAGAACAUGCUAUUAGUGUGAAAGUUGUGGGAGGGAAAGCUAAAAAAUGGACCAGGGGAUGUGACUCUGUUGGCUCUCGUGUGGACACCGUUGAGCAAAAAUAAUUUCGUUUCAAUUGAAAGAGAUAAAAAGCAUUUUUCAAAACACUUAAGCAGAAUCUUUUUUCCCUUAACCAUAGAAGCACACAUGAUAUCCUAGUCACCAAUGGAUGCUCUUUGUGCAGAACCAUAUAUUUGAUCAUGGAGCAAAACAUUAAGAGGCAUAUCUUUUAAAAAGGAACAUCAAUAGGCAUUUAUGUCUACU